UCUCUCUCCAGGGGCACUGUUUGUUUUCCUUCUGAGUGCUUCUCAAACGGCAUUCCCAGUGCACACUCAAAGGCACAGGAAUAAAAUUCAAAGUACUUAUUUUUGUGCAAAAGUUCUAUUUCUAUUAUAGGAGACAGAGAGAACAGACAAAGGACGAUGGGACCACAUAUAGCUGACACACAAACACACACACAUACAAGCAAAGUCAGAGUGCAAGUGAAGGAGAGAGAUUUUCUGCGCGAUUAGCCCUGCUAGUGGUCCUAAUUGUUACUUUGUAUCCAUGGUGAUGACUGUGCUUCAGAGGUAGCAGAGGGUGAGGGUGGGUUUACAUUGUGCAGGAAGUGGGCAGCUGCCGAUCUACCGACUGAACGAAGUACAGUCUAUGGCAGUGUGAACAUGCCACUGAGUGAGCUUCGGGAUGAAGUUCAUUAGUACUGUACAGUCUACAUGAUGAGAGGGAUGUGUUGGGUCAGUGGAAAGAUUUUUCCCCCUUUCUUGUUAAAAUGUAUUUUGACCAAAUGGGCCGUGGUGGCAUCUCCUCUGCAGCUCUGUGUAUGAAGAGAGGACUCUGUGUAGCUGUUGAGCUGCUGCAACGCAAAGAUCAGCUUUUUUGUGAGUCCAGGUUCAGUACAGCCGUUUUUUUUUUCACAUAAAGAGCUUUGUUUGGAUCUUGCUGGAUUGCCUCUUUCAUCCUUCAUGUUGCCUCUACAACACCAUGAUAACUGAAGAAAAAAAGAGUGACAUACAGGAGGUCACAGCAGCAUACAUCUGUGCAGUGGAUUCAGACACACAAGUCACAACAUCACCACAGACAACUUCUUCACCAGUGUGCCUCUUGCAGAGCAUCUCCUGGAGAAGGGUCUGACUAUUGUGGGAACAUUGUGACAGAACAAGCCAAACAUCCCUCCAGUGAUGAAGGCUUCCAAGUCGAGGGAGGUUCACAGCACUGAAUUUGGGUUCAAUGGCAGCAUGACCAUGAUCAGCUAUAUCAGAAAAAAGGGAAAGGCUGUUCUGCUUCUCAGCACAAUGCACCACAGCAAGAUGGUAGAUGAAAACAGCCAAAAGAAAAAAACAGAAGCAAUCCUCUUCUACAACCAGACCAAAGGAGGUGUAGAUACCAUUGACCAGAUGGUUGGCAACUACACCUGCAAGCGCCAGACACAGAGGUGGCCCAUGGUGCUGUGGUACAACAUGAUCGAUAUAGCCACUCUAAACGUCUACUCAUUUUUUAGGGCUCAGCACCCUGAAUUUUCCACAGGAAUCACCAAUGCACGGCGAUAUUUCCUCACAGAGCUCUCAAAGGACCUUGUAACUCUUCACAUGAAAAGUCGACUGGAAGGUACCCUGAACCUACCAACCUACAUCACUGAAGCAAUGGGAAGGUGUGGAGUGACAAAAACUGCAAACCAGCAACAGGAGAGAGGCACAGAGGGCAGACAGAAGAGAAAAAGGUGCCAGAUGUGUCAAAGAAACAAAGACCGCAAAGCCACCAAUUGCUGUUGGAAAUGCAGUACCCCAGUACCCCAAAAUAAUUUUGUGUGGGCAAAUGUGAGUGGACAGUGUUCUGGUAUUAUGUAUGUUCAUUUUCUUUUUUGUCCUGCAGACACAUGGACAUACUUUUUGAAGAUUUUUUAUGUUAUUUCUUGUGAAAAAAUGUUAUAAAAGUUAUAAAUAUGCAUGCUCAAUGUAAAAUCAGUCUUUUGUUGACCCAAAUAUAAUAGAUAUAAUCACCUUUAACCAAAAUUAAAGGCAUUUUUUUAAAUUCAUUGCAAAAACACAUUGAUUCUAAUUGGGGUCAUUUUUGACCCCACUCAUGGAAGAGUGUAGGUAUUGGUCGCUCAUGCAUCCAAGGGUUAAGCCGGAGUCAGAUCCUAAAAGUCGGGUCAGGAUCUUCUUGAUAUGGCUACAAAACUGAACAAACUCAGCCUCCAGGAGUUGCUGUGUACUGUGUAAGGGAAUGCAAGCUUGCUGGUAGGCACGCAGUAGGGAUUGUAUUACGAGUUUGCGUCAUCUUGUAACAAAGGGAAGGGGCUGGACUUCCAACAAGGCAUUUCAGGCAGCUGAGAAAAGUUGUUUGUGUGGGAGAGAGUUUCUCCCUGUGGCAUGUGCUUUGUAACUUUGCAGACCGUUGCCAAGCUUUAGAACACAUUAAAGGAAAGGGGAAAACAGGCAAAGCAUAAUAGAUCCCUUUAAAAUCGUUAUACCACUAACAUAUACAAGUUGGAAAGGUAUAGUGCAAACAAAGACAAAGUCAUAGAAGCUGAGACAAAAAGUUUUACACCCCUCCCUGGCCUCCCCCACUCUGAGCUACAAAACAUUUCCCAAUCAAAGACAGUUGUUGGUGUGCUUCUGUGCCAAAUUCAGCCUUUGUUUCUGCUGCACCCUCAGCAAAGCUUCAUUAGGCUGUAUGUGUGCAGCUCCACCUCCGAGUAGCAGCCGAUGAACUAAGGCUGGAGGAUUUGUGGAUUAUGAAUAAUACAGAGCAGCCGGAGUCACAUUUCCCCCGACACAGCCUAGCCUUUGAGUAUCACGCCCAUUUGCACUAUAAAGUGAGCAAAAGGAACACUUGUUAUUGAGAUCAGGUUGACAUUGUGCGUGUGUGUGUGUGUGUGUGUGUGAGAGAGAGAGAGAGAGAGAGAGAGAGAGAGAGAGAGAGAGGGAGAGAGAGAGAGAGAGAGAGAGAGAGAAAGAGAAAGAGAG